UCGAGGCGCCUUGACCGCUGCGCCGUCCACGCUCCAUCCGCCCGGACCGCCGCGCCGCCAGGACACAGCCCGCGCCGACCGGGUCGCCGCGUCCACGCGCCGCCAGGACACAGCCCACGCCGGACCUCCACGCUGCAGGAAGCAUUGAGCAGUUGCAUUGCAAAUACAAGGAACAUCAUCAGUCCAACAGAGAGGUAGCAACAAGAGGUUGAGGUUAUCACUCGAGGCAAGAAAUCCUAUCGUAUCCUUCCAAACUCAGAGAGGAGCAUUCCUUACUUUUAAUAGAUCAAAUAAUUUGAUGAUGCUUUGGUUUCUUACUAUUAUCUGUUGAAAUGCAUGGUAUCUGUUGAAGUGCGUGGUAAGGAUGACAAGCCUACCAAAUGUUUAUUCCAAAUCUAAAAUGAUAGCUCCCUGUUAUGUAUGCAUAAUCAGGAGCGAUAAGCCCUGCAUUUGGCCUUAAUAGGAUGAAAUAAAUAACUUAUCAUUGUUAUGCAGAUUAGCUAGGUUCAGCUAUGUGCUUAUGACAUAUCAUCAAUCUGUCCCCAUUGAUUAUGCAUGUAUUUUUCUCUUGUAUUAGCCUGAUGUAGAAAAUAACUGAAUUUUUUUUAUGUUCUUGCAUCGCAAGACCAGCUUGGGUGAGACUGCUAUUGCCAAAUAGAUUGUUCUGAUUAAACCACAAUUUUUGUGGAACCGGUCUCUUUUAGCUCACACAUUAUCUGAGAUUUAGUGUUACUAUUUUCUCUGAUGCCAAAUUGAUUUUGUUGAUUAUAAAUUAUAUAGAUAUAGUUCCUUCUUCUUGUUGUCUUUCUGUAGCAUCACUGACUGUACGUGCAUCUUAACAUCUCGAGUCAACGGUGAUACUGUUUUCAGUGUCUAAUUUUUUCUGUAAUGCAACUUCACGUGGAUGUAACAGAAUGUGCAAAGUUGUUCCUUCAACGCAAAGCUGCAAUGUGAUUUGAAAGUACCAGGUUUAGAUAGUGGAGGAUCCUGAAUUGAUGCAUAUAUUUCCUCCAAAGGUAACUAGGCUCCAAAGUGCAGAAUGAGGAGAGGGUUUCUGCUGUUAUUGUUAAAUCUUAAUGAAACAUCUGUUCCUGGUUCAGAGGUUUAUAAGUUCCCUUUCUCAAAUAUCAAGGUGAUGUAUUUGCAAACCUCAAUGCAAAAUGGUUAGUCAGUCUCAAACAGCUGCAGCUCUACUUUCCAGGUCAUGGGCAUCCCAAAGAAACUUGUUCCGACCAUUGGCAUUUUCAUGGACCACCGCCAGAAGAACAUGUAACUCGAGGUUAUGCAAUCUAAUGUCCACAGGCUCGAGAUACAAGGCCAACUUGGCAAGCUUUAUUUUCCUAAGCCAUCCAGAGGUCCAGGGCGACCACAUGCCCAUCACUCACGGUGGCGGCGAGAAGCACAUGCAUACGGCAAGCUCCGUGUUGAGAUGAUGAACCAACACCUGUUGGGAGCCCAGAUGAAGAAGGCUGCAGACGUGGAGAAAGCGGAUAAGUGAUGAGAUGUUUAUGGCAGCUAAUGGAUGAUGUUAUCUUAGUUUCUGAAUUUUUGUUUUGGUUGACUCGGAAACCUUGUUUGAUGUUUGAAGAUCCCUUUUUGCCCACU